UUUUUUUCUGUCAUCGUCAAUGAUCAGUAAUAUCCAGAAUAUAAUGUCUGGAUGAUCAUUCAACUUCUUUGUUGGAUUUUUUGGGUUUAGGUUAAAUCUCUGCCACUAGAGGAAGAGGAAAAAGAAACAGAACUAGACAAAUCUCAACAGGCAUAAGUACUUCAGAACUGGAGCAGAAGUUCAUGAACAUUAAGAGACAUAGUAAGAUCAUUACCACCUGCAAGUUCAAGAACUAAAAGGCCAGCAAGAAGUGCAUCACCAGAGUCAGGAUUACUAAGAAGGGAAGGACAGAGAAAGGUUACCUAGAGACAAUAACGAAGGGGACAGGAGAAAUGAACACCGUCCGGAGCGUACGGCCUAUCAGAAUGAUGGGUAUGGAUAGGUGACUGAUUACCGGAAUAUUGACAAAGCAUACAGGAAAAGUGAGGGUGAUAGUCAUCACAAUAUCAGUAGUAUGAUUUAAUGAUUCCAUAAAAUAUACUGCUACUGGCAGCAAGCAAUGUGCUUUUCUCA